CAAAUUAGUUAACAAACUCUCCUGACUGGAUAUGUAAAACUGCCAAACCUUUUAAGUUUUAAAAAAUCAAUAACUAAUAAUAAUUAAUUAUCUCCAUAAUUACCUAACAACCCAAA